CCUACGGGAGGCAGCAGUGGGGGAUAUUGCACAAUGGGGGGAACCCUGAUGCAGCGACGCCGCGUGGGUGAAGAAGCGCCUCGGCGCGUAAAGCCCUGUCAGCAGGGAAGAAAAUGACGGUACCUGAAGAAGAAGCCCCGGCUAACUACGUGCCAGCAGCCGCGGUAAUACGUAGGGGGCAAGCGUUAUCCGGAUUUACUGGGUGGAAAGGGGGCGCAGACGGCGAUGCAAGCCAGGAGUGAAAGCCCGGGGCCCAACCCCGGGACGGCUCGUGGAACUGCGUGGCUGGAGGGCAGGAGGGGCAGGCGGAAGUCCUGGUGGAGCGGUGAAAUGCGUAGAUAGCAGGAGGAACACCGGUGGCGAAGGCGGCCUGCUGGACUGCAACUGACGUUGAGGCCCGAAAGCGUGGGGAGCAAACAGGAUUAGAUACCCGAGUAGUC
rnacentral:rRNA from 1 species